UACGGAGGGUGCGAGCGUUGUCCGGAAUCACUGGGCGUAAAGGGCGCGUAGGCGGCCUGAUAAGUAGGGGGUGAAAUCCUGCGGCUUAACCGCAGGGCUGCCUUCUAAACUGUCAGGCUAGAGCACAGUAGAGGCAGGUGGAAUUCCCGGUGUAGCGGUGGAAUGCGUAGAGAUCGGGAAGAACAUCAGUGGCGAAGGCGACACUCUGGUCUGACACUGACGCUGAGGUGCGAAAGCGUGGGUAGCAAACAGG
rnacentral:rRNA from 1 species